AUGUGUAGUUUUAUAUCCCUCACCCACCUCCUACCCUUUUCCCUGAGUCCGCAAAGUCCAUUGUGUCAUUCUUAUGGUUUUGCAUCCUCAUAGCCUAGCUUCCAAUUAUGAGUGAGAACAUAUGAUGCUUGGUUUUCCAUUCCUGAGUGACUUCACUUAGAAUAAUAGUCUCGAAUUUCAUCCGGGUUGCUGUGAAUGCCGUUAUUCUAUUCCUUUUUAUGGCUGAGUAGUAUUCCAGUGUGUAUAUAUACCACCAAACAGCUUUUCCAUA